rnacentral:rRNA from 1 species
CCUACGGGGGGCAGCAGUGAGGAAUAUUGGUCAAUGGGCGGAAGCCUGAACCAGCCAAGUAGCGUGCAGGAUGACGGCCCUAUGGGUUGUAAACUUCUUUUAUAUGGGAAUAAAAUGUUCCACGUGUGGGAUUUUGUAUGUACCAUAUGAAUAAGGAUCGGCUAACUCCGUGCCAGCAGCCGCGGUAAUACGGAGGAUCCGAGCGUUAUCCGGAUUUAUUGGGUUUAAAGGGAGCGUAGGUGGAUUGUUAAGUCAGUUGUGAAAGUUUGCGGCUCAACCGUAAAAUUGCAGUUGAAACUGGCAGUCUUGAGUACAGUAGAGGUGGGCGGAAUUCGUGGUGUAGCGGUGAAAUGCUUAGAUAUCACGAAGAACUCCGAUUGCGAAGGCAGCUCACUGGACUGCAACUGACACUGAGGCUCGAAAGUGUGGGUAUCAAACAGGAUUAGAUACCCUUGUAGUC